GAAGCCCAGAAAACCAGCAGCAAGAGGUAGGUCUGUGGCGGAUUGUUAAAGGGUCCUGGGGCUGGAACCCAGUGUAGAACGUGGGCCUGGCUUCCCCUGCCAGCCACCGCGGGAGCGGCUAGGGCACUGGAGACACCAGUCAGACAGCAAGUCUGUGAAUACCCUAGAAGGGGAGGACUUUAGUGGCCUGGCCAGAGGACCAAGCCAAACAGAGGAAGCUACAGACCCAGGAGUGAGCAGGGCAGCAGAGUGAGACAAGACGGGAGAAAACCAUGCUGGAGGGAGAGCGCAAGCUGGCACAGCUAAAUCCCCAGGAUGGCCAGUGGGAGAUGCCAUUUGUGCAAAUGAACAUGACACACUCUGGAAAAAUACUGAAUCUCAUUGAGGAGAGCAAUGCAGACUUUAUCUCCGGGAAAUAUCCAGGUCUUUGAACAAGUUAUUUG